rnacentral:rRNA from 1 species
UAGCUAGUUGGUGAGGUAAAGGCUUACCAAGGCGACGAUCUGUAGCGGGUCUGAGAGGAUGAUCCGCCACACUGGAACUGAGACACGGUCCAGACUCCUACGGGAGGCAGCAGUGGGGAAUUUUGGACAAUGGGGGCAACCCUGAUCCAGCCAUGCCGCGUGAGUGAAGAAGGCCUUCGGGUUGUAAAGCUCUUUCGGCCGGGAAGAAAUCGCAUGGGCCAAUACCCUGUGUGGAUGACGGUACCGGAAUAAGAAGCACCGGCUAACUACGUGCCAGCAGCCGCGGUAAUACGUAGGGUGCGAGCGUUAAUCGGAAUUACUGGGCGUAAAGCGUGCGCAGGCGGUUUUGUAAGACAGGCGUGAAAUCCCCGGGCUUAACCUGGGAACUGCGUUUGUGACUGCAAGGCUAGAGUACGGCAGAGGGGGGUGGAAUUCCACGUGUAGCAGUGAAAUGCGUAGAGAUGUGGAGGAACACCAAUGGCGAAGGCAGCCCCCUGGGUCGAUACUGACGCUCAUGCACGAAAGCGUGGGUAGCAAACAGGAUUAGAUACCCUGGUAGUCCACGCCCUAAACUAUGUCAACUAGGUGUUGGGUGGGUAAAACCAUUUAGUACCGUAGCUAACGCGUGAAGUUGACCGCCUGGGGAGUACGGCCGCAAGGUUAAAACUCAAAGGAGUUGACGGGGACCCGCACAAGCGGUGGAUGAUGUGGAUUAAUUCGAUGCAACGCGAAAAACCUUACCUACCCUUGACAUGCCAGGAACUUGCCAGAGAUGGCUUGGUGCCCGAAAGGGAGCCUGGACACAGGUGCUGCAUGGCUGUCGUCAGCUCGUGUCGUGAGAUGUUGGGUUAAGUCCCGCAACGAGCGCAACCCUUGUCGUUAAUUGCCAUCAUUUAGUUGGGCACUUUAACGAGACUGCCGGUGACAAACCGGAGGAAGGUGGGGAUGACGUCAAGUCCUCAUGGCCCUUAUGGGUAGGGCUUCACAUGUCAUACAAUGGUCGGUACAAAGGGUCGCCAAGCCGCGAGGCGGAGCCAAUCCCAGAAAGCCGAUCGUAGUCCGGAUUGCAGGCUACAACUCGCCUGCAUGAAGUCGGAAUCGCUAGUAAUCGUGGAUCAGCAUGUCACGGUGAAUACGUUCCCGGGUCUUGUACACACCGCCCGUCACACCAUGGGAGCGGGUUCCGCCAGAAGUAGGUAGCCUAACCGCAAGGGGGCGCUUACCACGGCGGGGUUCGUGGCUGGGGUGAAGUCGUAACAAGGUAGCCGUAGGGGAACCUGCGGCUG